rnacentral:rRNA from 1 species
AAGUCGAACGGUAACACGGAGAGCUUGCUCUCUGGCGACGAGUGGCGGACGGGUGAGUAAUACUUAGGAAUCUACCCAGUAGUGGGGGACAACAUUCGGAAACGGAUGCUAAUACCGCAUACGCACUACGGUGGAAAGUGGGGGACCUUCGGGCCUCACGCUAUUGGAUGAGCCUAAGUCGGAUUAGCUUGUUGGUGAGGUAAUGGCUCACCAAGGCGACGAUCCGUAGCUGGUCUGAGAGGACGAUCAGCCACACUGGAACUGAGACACGGUCCAGACUCCUACGGGAGGCAGCAGCAGGGAAUCUUGGACAAUGGGCGCAAGCCUGAUCCAGCCAUGCCGCGUGUGUGAAGAAGGCCCUAGGGUUGUAAAGCACUUUCAGUGGUGAAGAAACGCUUGAGGCUAAUACCCUCGAGUACUGACGUUAACCACAGAAGAAGCACCGGCUAACUCCGUG